AUUGAACGCUGGCGGCAGGCCUAACACAUGCAAGUCGAACGAGUGGGGCACGGGAGUGUAAUGUCUGGAACACUCCUAUAUGGAGGGGGAACACUCGUGGAAACGGUAGCUAAUACCGCAAACCAUCGGAUGUGCACAGAUGGCAUUCGUUAGUAGGUGGGGUAACGGCUCACCUAGGCGACGAUCCCUAGCUGGUCUGAGAGGAUGACCAGCCACACUGGAACUGAGACACGGUCCAGACUCCUACGGGAGGCAGCAGUGGGGAAUAUUGCACAAUGGGCGCAAGCCUGAUGCAGCCAUGCCGCGUGUAUGAAGAAGGCCUUCGGGUUGUAAAGUACUUUCAGCGGGGAGGCGUUACCCGCAGAAGAAGCACCGGCUAACUCCGUGCCAGCCGCCGCGGUAAUAC
rnacentral:rRNA from 1 species